rnacentral:lncRNA from 1 species
ACCACACCCCCCACCCCGGACCCUGGGUGGGUACUAAGCUCUGAACACAUUAGUCCUCCAGCACCUUCCUCUGAUAGCUUUUGGAACCAGGCUCUGCAGCUUGGCUGCUGAAUUGUCAGCAAGCACACAUAAGUUGGAGCAAGCCCACCUGGUUCCCAGCACGAGGCCCCCACCUGCCUUCCUAGCUUUACCAGAGAGGACAAGAAAGAGCAGCUGUGGGAGGUGUUCGUCAUCGGUGCCCCGCCCACUCUACACACGAGGAUCUGAGGGUUCCAGACUCCCAAACACACGUGCUAACAUGACGAAGCUGCAGCCUGGGAAGCAGGCUUUCUUCCCAAGUCCACGGUGAACAAGAGGCAGACCUUCUCCGUCCUCGUCCACAUGCUACACAACUGCACACUGGAGGAGCCCAGUAAGCGCCAAAGGCAAGUCAGGUUGGUCUUUGCUUUCUUGGCUCUAGCAUGUUUUGAAUACACUCUUAUAUAAGGGGAUGGUUGACUACAAGGAGUGAGUUCAUGUGUGAUGGCCAGGCUGCUCUUCACAGCUCUUUA